rnacentral:rRNA from 1 species
ACGUAGGGGGCGAGCGUUGUCCGGAAUUACUGGGCGUAAAGGGCGCGUAGGCGGUAAUUUAAGUCUCAUGUGAAAGCCCAUCUUUCAAGGGUGGGAUUGCAUGGGAAACUGGAUAACUUGAGUGCAGGAGAGGGAAGCGGAAUUCCGAGUGUAGCGGUGAAAUGCGUAGAUAUUCGGAGGAACACCAGUGGCGAAGGCGGCUUUCUGGACUGUAACUGACGCUGAGGCGCGAAAGCGUGGGGAGCAAACAG